AUUUACCCAACAACCCAAGUGGAACAUUUUCCGUAAAUUAUUUCCAAUUAGUAAUGAAUUGCUACAAACUAAUAUAAUUGAAUUUACAAGCAAAAUUGUCCAGUCUUAAUAUUUACCUCAAAAAGUGAAAAUCAACUUAUCCAUCGAUGUAAACAGUUGCUGUGUCAUUAACUUGACUGAUCUAUCUGAUUGUCUACAAGUUUGUUUUCUGAUUUCAUUUGGCUUAAAAUGAAUGGUUGGAUGAAAAGAGACUUCAAUUAUAUUCCAUGUUUCGAAAGGAGACGAAAAAAUUACCAAAUGGAAGAUACUUAUAAUGUGAAAUCUCUUUCAAGAACAAAUUUGUGGAAAUUACAAUCUAAUGCUUAUGUCAUGAAAUCGUUGAAUAUUUCAUGAUAAUAAUAGUAACAUUGGCAACUCUUUCAUUGGAAAUUUCCUUGCUCCAGGAUUUCAAGUCUGUGAUAUUUAUAUAUUUAACAGACGAUUGGUGAUAUGAUCUUGAAAUUAAUGUUAUCACAGUUAUACAAUCACUUGUAUCUGUAGUGGAUUAAUCCUACAAUGUUAUUCUCAUUCUUGAUGACUAAACAACAACACUUGUUGAAUAUCCAUUGAACUGAAGGCAAGAAUUUGAAUUUUCACUCGCAACUUCAACUUUCCUUUUUCGGUUAAGAGUUAAACAACACAAGUUACUAGCGGUAAGCAAUUGACCCAUUAUACUGAUUCCAAACCAAGUACUGACUAAACUGCCGCUGAAGAUUAGGUAAUCUGAGAGAGGAAAGUCUUCUUUGCUUUCUGUUAAAGAGUCAAAUUCAGAUGAGACAAUAAAGUAAAACCUGAACGAUUCUUCACCUAUCUUGACAUCUUGAGGUGUUGUAGCCAUUGUGAAUGAAUAACGAACUGAGUUGCACAUCGGUUGAGUAACAAGAGAUUCACAAGUUUCGAAAAUUUCGAGCAAUGAAUCAUCGUCGGUGUCGUUGUACAAUGAAGAAGCGAAAUGCAUUCCAUUUGAUUGACUAUACUUUUCUAAGUCUACGGUAGUUUCAGGAUAAAGCAGUCCUGUUCGUGCAAGUGAGUGGUUAUUAAGGCAAUCUUCAAAGACUUGACGUCGAUCAUAGUUUUUGCACAUCGUUUUGUACGGAGCAGGCAACAAGUUUAACGUAUGUUUCGUGAAGCGAAUCCCGAGUGAAACCUGUUUGCCCUUAUUAUUUGCAGCAAAGGCAUAAAAACUAUUGUCUUCAACCAAAGCCUUUCCCGGAUAAACGAGUUUCACUAGCAUUGCCGUCGCAUUCAAAGGGAAUCCUAAAAAAUAGUUAGUUCUGUAGACAGCGGCUCUUGCUCGUGAUACUUUUAAUGGCGAACCAGUCGAGUCCAAGCACGAAAUCACCAGAACUAAAUAUGCUGCUGAAGCUCUACGUUUUAAUCUACAUUCGCCAAUCUCGACUGGAUCCUCUUCUGAUUCAGACCAAUGAAGUCUCGAUAUAAACUUUUCAAUCGGAUACGAGUGCUUGGCAAUAUCAGACAGUAACAGUGAUGGGCCAAAUUUUUUAGAAAAUAAGACGACAUUUGUUAUGUAAUCAUUACAGUCCUUCUUUCCUGUAAAGUACAUGCAAGUCGACUCGAAGCUUGAUUUAUAUUUUCGUUUCAAAAAGUUAAUAUCGAACGCGAACUGAUAUGGAAUUAGAAUAUGAUUUUAGGCAGUUCAAUUUGAUUCGCAAUAUAAUUGGUAACUUCUUUACGAAUAUUAAAUUGAAGAUAAUUUUGGGUCAACAGAUACAACUGAAAGGAAAAAACGACACUGCAAAAGGUUCGGAUUGAGAGCGUGAAGAUUUUCUUGAACACUGGAAUCAUUUUCAUGAAUUUCCAAAUGCCCUGAAAAUACCUUAUAUUAGAGAAAUGAACACAAAAAACAUAAAAUGACUCAAUAUCUACCAUUUAUUGUCAAACGAUUGACCAAAAAUUAAUCAAAAUGAUCAUGUAUUCAUUUGUGUCAAUACUUUAAUUUUUUAUACAAAAUAAAUUCUCAUCAA